AAAAACAUAAGCUUAUAAAUAUUUAUUCAAAUCUUAAAGAAGUUACAAGGAAAGGAUUUAUCGUUGCAAUCAAGAAACUAUUUGAUCUUUGAUUCAUACUGUAAGCUUUUGUUAAAUCUUUUAAGAGUCAACACUAACUUGUUUCCAACUUUCUACCUUUUCCUGAUACGUAUAAUGGAAUAAAAGAUAAGAUAAUCGUUUGCAGUCGUUGUCUCGAAAAAUUUACAAGAUUUUACGACUCGUAAUUUUAACAUUAUGCUUAAAAUUUGACUCGAAAUAAUUCCCUGAUUUUCUAAAUUUAGGUGAACAAUAUUUUGAUUACAGGAUUCUCCCUCUUUCUCGAAGAAGAAGAAGAAGAAGAAGAAGAGCAGAAUUUGUGUAAAAUGAGCAUUUUGAAAGAAUUAUUACGACACCUGGAACAGACGCCUGCUACUAAACUAGAAUCAGAGAAUGCUACUCUUAAGAUGGAAACCGUACAACGAAAUACAACAGGGAUGAUGUGCAUAAUAGAAAUGGAUAUGCAUUUAGAUGAGCAAACAAAGAAAUUGGACCGAGAAAUUCACACAAUGAAAGGGAACUUGAACGCGGAACAAGUAAUGACGCAUUUAAAGUGCAUGGUUACUGCACCUGCCACUUGCAGUUUACCCGGACGUUUUGCUAAGCAGUUUGGUAAAAGCUGGAGAAAUAGCGACGAAAGCUUAUCGCCAUUGAUUGGAAGCGUUCAAACUACAGCGUUAGCUACAGAUCAACCGGAUAAACCCGACACGAAUGUAUGUGAUGUAGAAAGUAAAAACAAUAGCGUGCCGAUGGAAAGUUGGGUGAAACUCCCAGACCGCUCGAAUACUUGUUGGGAAAGAAAGUACCUUAGGUUGGAAGGACCGUGUCUAUGUACUUACGAUCAUCAGACAUCUCCCUGAAUGGCACCAAUGAAUCGUAUCGAUUUAAUCGAGAAGGAUGGAUUUACUGUAUUAGAUGCAAUAACUAAUCCAGGUGUAAUGGAAACAACGAAGACGGACAUAUCAUUUAUGUUCAAAGUAGAAUCCAAUUCAUCGACCACUUGUUAGCCAACACCACGUUUGGAUGUCAUGGCUUUGAGCCAGACUGAUAAGAAAAACUGGUUGGAAUCCUUAAACUUUAUUACUAGGUCAGGAAGUUAGGAAGAGUGCAUGAAUAAGUAUAAUAAGUAAGUACUAGCUUUUUUUGCAAGAUUUAAAAUUUUCUUGCAAUUUAGUAUCUGUAUGUGUUAAUUAAUUACAUGUAAUUAAUAUUUUGUAAUAUUACAGAAUUUAGAGGAAAAAGAUGAUGGCUCAGCUAUUUCCCCAGUUAGCGUUUUAAACAUCUUUCUUGUACGUGGAAGAGUAGAAUUCUCGUUUUGCUACAAUGAAUUUGAAAUGUUUAUGAAUGAACGUGGCCAAAGAACUCGAAACAUCGAUCGAACAUGGCAUCAUUUACCUUUUUGCUUUUGUGCACAAAUGUUCAAGAGAUUUCGAUGCAUGGAAUGAAACUGACAACUGACAACGCAUGACGACGUGCUUCUUUACUGUAUUAUGUAGGUAUGUAUAUGAUUUAUAACGAUAAAAAGAUAAGCCACAUUUUCAGGGUCUGUAUGCACGUUGUCCAAAUAUGUAAUAAGAUUUGCAGUAAAUAAACAAAGUGUUUGGACGAAAUUCGGUUAGAUGUGUGAGGUAACCUGUUUAUCACAUAGUAUAUCAUGCUUGGAAUGCCAUCUACGAUUAUUUUGCACUCUUUCAUAUCCAAGGAUAUCUCAUCUAGUUUUGAUUUAAUAUUCUAUUUCACGUGAUGAAGAAUAUUUACAGCAUUUGUACCUUAUAUAGAUGAAUCUUCAACACCUUGAACUUAUAUAACCUAAUCUCAAUUACAAAUGAUAUUAUGUUACUAUGACAUAAAACUGUACCCGAAACUGUUCAUCACAUCAGCUUUGAAAAGAUCUAUAAUAAUUAAAAGGAUAUGUAGAAACAGUAAUUUCAUAAAAAUAACAGAUGUUAGAUGACAAAAAUAACAAUCUGAUAAAAAACAAAUACGUAUAACAACAUGUUAUAACAAUCAACAGCUUGUUGAGGUAUAAUAUUACGAAAUUAAUAAUAUACGACAGAAUUCAAUCUAAAAUUGUCAAAUUUCAUCAUGAAUUGUCCAAAGAUGGAUCCCACACAAAAUUUGUCAAACCGUAUCUUUACAACCGGUAUUUCCGUCCAAAUUUUAUCCGGUUAUUUCUACAAGCGAAUUAAAAACGUCAUGCAUGAAACAGCAUAUUGCACUUGGAAAUUUCGACGGAAUGUUUAAGCAGACAGUAGUACGAAUGACUGAAGAAAACAUGACGUUUUAUCGGGGCCAAGUAUGACGGAAGGGAUUUCUCGAUAAUACGCCCACAAAUAUGUAGUAAAUCUUAUAAACGAGAUAGGGAUACAGGUAAUAAUAGUUGACAUUUGUAUAUUGGUUAAAUUAACCAUUCGUGAGUAAUUUUAGCUACAUUAACAUCUUGAUUACCACGUGAACAGUGUUUCUGGAUAUUUCGGAGAGAGCGGACAUCUUAAGUCCCUACUUGAUACUUGUAAUAAAUUGAUCGAUAAGAAAAUGCAAGUAGCUAUAUCAAUAUAUAAAAUUGUUCGUUUUCUUUCAAGUGGUAUAAAUCCCACUUUUAUUGUUUCGAGACACUUAAGAGUCUGAAACCUAAGCGAUUUGAACGUAAUAAUCGUUAAGAUAUUAACGAGAUAUUUAUUAAUAAUAAAUCUUAAUGUAAUACAUCUUAGGAAUACAAUUUAUACUUAUGUUUAUCUUGUUAAGGUAUUGCUAGUGUGUUAGCGUAAUCGAUGUAAUAAAAGGAAUUAAAUUUUUUUAUUACGAAACAUUUAAGAAAAUGAGUAGCUAGAUAUAGCGAUAUAAAGAUAUUAUUAGCUAUCAUAUUCUUCAUCUUUUAUUUUGUUUCAAUUUAAUUGAAUUUUAUUUUAAUUUCAUUAUAUAUAUAUUCAAUUUGAUUAAUCAAAUUUCCAUUGAACUUAUACUUUAUAAAGUCUUUUGUCUUUCACUUCAUACCAUUUCGUAUAAUCUUUUAAUUAAAGUCCAACACGAAAUCCCAGUUAAAACCCCAGAUUAUUUCUUAAUUAACUUAAUCUCAUGCUCUAUUGUGUUACAAUUCGAUUUACCUAUAAUUCAAUUUUGAUCUACAUAUAUAUAUACAAAAAGUAUUGACACAUAUCCUUAUUUCUCACUGAAGUGAUUAUUUUAUCAAAUUUCAUUUUCAUAGUAUCUAAUUUUUCUAGUCAUAUGAAUCACAACCAAGUGCAAUUAACUCUUUGCCUCAUAAUAUUGCACUACGUAUAUGGUAUGGUUUAUGGAUGAAAUACACGAAGACAGAGCGGGCUCAAAUUAAAGUACCAAAGUAUCAAAUUUCAAUGAUAUACUUUCAUUUUUUACUUUCAUAUUGCAAGACCGUAGAUUACUGAAAAAGACAAAUAAUUCAAUGUCUCGUUUCAAUGAUAUAACAGUAAACAGAUAAAAGCUAAGGCUAGCAAAAGAUUACAAGAGGUUAAUCAAUAUGCAAAUGCUAUAAUAAAUAUAGUUGUCUGCCGAUACAUUUUGUAGCCACUGUACUUAUUAUUUCACGCUGUAGAUAUCAAAUUUAUAUUAUUUCAUAGAUAACCCAAUUAGGUCUAGAUACAUUUGAUAAAAGAUCACGACAGUUUAUGUUGUUACUCCGUGUGUUUCUCUGAUAAGCCUGUUUACGGUUAAAUGAAAAUGAUGAUGCGAAAUCGUAGCUAGUUUUAUCCAGAUAAUAAUCGGUCACAUCAAAUCUAGUCACGUCUAGGUCAAGCGUGAAUAAGUUGGUGCAUAUUUUUUUGAUAUAAGAUUCAGUUUUCUAUUUCUUCUAUUAUAAUAUGCGAACUAUUGAGAGCUACGUUUAUUGCGUCAAUACCUACUUACAGGUAUUUUUAGUGAAAAAUUCAAUUGUUUAUAACUUGAAAAAUAAAUUUCAAGCGAUAUUUUUGCAUAUUAAUAUUCAUCUUUAUUUAGGUGUCUAAAAUCUGAAACUGUAGUCCUCCAAAGGCGAAUGUAAGGUAACAUUAACUUUGUUAAAAAUACCUGUACAGCGAUCGUAAAAACAAUUUAAAACCACAUAAGUCUGAAUAAUUUACAAUAUCAACGAUCAUUAUGUACGCCUAUUUUCCCUAACUAAUGCGUAUACAAUGUAGCGUUAUAGGACUUAUCACUAAUUAUCGUCGAUUAUGUCGCGAAAAUCGCAAAAAGCGGAAGUUUACACGAUUUAAGAGCCAUAAACCACAAAUCGAUUAAACAGACUACGUUAUCGUUUCAUGGAAUUUGUAAGAUCGACGACUUAGCUGAGCUAACAAAACAUGUUUCCAUUCUCCAAAACACAAUACUGUUUCAGCGUCUUUUUAUGGAAUUUUCUAGAUAUUUUGUUGAAUUCUUCAGACAUGAGUUGUUUCGAUGGAAUUUUCUUUCGAAUCGAUAGAAAUCUUAUUUAUAUUUUAUUUAUUCGAACUUUAUCUUGAUUUUACUUGGAUCUUAAGUCGUAAAAUUGGAGAUUGUUAAAUGGGAUUUUUUCUGUAAUAUUUCAGUAUUUUGUUUUCGUAUCGUACUCUUGUUGAUCGAGAUCGUUGCAACAUUAUCACAGAAUCGUACGGUUAAAGUCCCCGAAUUAAAGAGAUUUAUCUACUCUCUUAUCGAGCUGGAAUAUGUCGGUAGAGUGGAUCGAACCAUUAAACACGAAUAUCUUCGUUUGCUUAGGAAAAAAUUUGUCAAGUUCGAGCUGAUACUUGAACGAAAUUUUUG